AGGUCUGCAGCUCACCUAGGCGUCGCCAGUUCAUAUGAACCACGCUAAACCUGCCA
rfam:Janthinobacterium sp. B9-8, complete genome.